rnacentral:rRNA from 1 species
UUCCGGUUGAUCCCGCCAGAGGUCACUGCUAUCGGGGUUCGAUUAAGCCAUGCGAGUCGAGAGGGUUCAGACCCUCGGCGGACUGCUCAGUAACACGUGGAUAACCUGCCCUAAGGUGGAGCAUAACCCCGGGAAACUGGGGAUAAUACUCCAUAGGUUAGAGAUACUGGAAUGUUCUUUAAUCGAAAGUUCCGGCGCCUUAGGAUGGAUCUGCGGCCGAUUAGGUAGUUGUUGGGGUAACGGCCCAACAAGCCUGUAAUCGGUACGGGUUGUGGGAGCAAGAGCCCGGAGAUGGAAUCUGAGACACGAUUCCAGGCCCUACGGGGCGCAGCAGGCGCGAAAACUUUACAAUGCAGGAAACUGUGAUAAGGGAACCCCGAGUGCCCGUAUACGCGGGCUGUCCGGGUGUAUAAAAAGCAUCUGAAGAAAGGGCCGGGCAAGACCGGUGCCAGCCGCGGCGGUAAUACCGGCGGCUCGAGUGGUGACCACUUUUAUUGGGCUUAAAGCGUUCGUAGCUGGACUCUUAAGUCUCUUGGGAAAUCCCGCGGCUCAACCGUGGGGCGUUUAAGAGAUACUGGGAGUCUAGGAACCGGGAGAGGUAAGAGGUACUUCGGGGGUAGAAGUGAAAUUCUGUAAUCCUCGAGGGACCACCGAUGGCGAAGGCAUCUUACCAGAACGGCUUCGACAGUGAGGAACGAAAGCUGGGGGAGCGAACGGGAUUAGAUACCCCGGUAGUCCCAGCUGUAAAUUAUGCAGACUGUGGUGUUACGCUAUCGUAAGAUAGCGUAGUGCUGUAGCGUAGGUGUUAAGUCUGCCGCCUGGGGAGUACGGUCGCAAGAUUGAAACUUAAAGGAAUUGGCGGGGGAGCACCACAAGGGGUGGAUGCUACGGUUCAAUUGGAGUCAACGCCGGA